AUUGAACGCUGGCGGCAGGCCUAACACAUGCAAGUCGAGCGGAUGAAGAGAGCUUGCUCUCUGAUUUAGCGGCGGACGGGUGUGUAAUGCCUAGGAAUCUGCCUGGUAGUGGGGGAUAACGUUCCGAAAGGAACGCUAAUACCGCAUACGUCCUACGGGAGAAAGCAGGGGACCUUCGGGCCUUGCGCUAUCAGUUGAGCCUAGGUCGGAUUAGCUAGUUGGUGAGGUAAUGGCUCACCAAGGCGACGAUCCGUAACUGGUCUGAGAGGAUGAUCAGUCACACUGGAACUGAGACACGGUCCAGACUCCUACGGGAGGCAGCAGUGGGGAAUAUUGGACAAUGGGCGAAAGCCUGAUCCAGCCAUGCCGCGUGUGUGAAGAAGGUCUUCGGAUUGUAAAGCACUUUAAGUUGGGAGGAAGGGCAUUAACCUAAUACGUUAGUGUUUUGACGUUACCAACAGAAUAAGCACCGGCUAACUUCGUGCCAGCCGCCGCAGUAAGAC
rnacentral:rRNA from 1 species